GUGAGGAAUAUUGGUCAAUGGGCGGGAGCCUGAACCAGCCAAGUCGCGUGAAGGAAGAAGGAUCUAUGGUUCGUAAACUUCUUUUGCAGGGGAAUAAAGUGCAGGACGUGUCCUGUUUUGUAUGUACCCUGAGAAUAAGGAUCGGCUAACUCCGUGCCAGCAGCCGCGGUAAUACGGAGGAUCCGAGCGUUAUCCGGAUUUAUUGGGUUUAAAGGGUGCGUAGGUGGUUUGAUAAGUCAGCGGUGAAAGUUUGCAGCUUAACUGUAAAAACGCCGUUGAAACUGUCGGACUUGAGUGUAAAUGAGGUAGGCGGAAUGCGUGGUGUAGCGGUGAAAUGCAUAGAUAUCACGCAGAACUCCGAUUGCGAAGGCAGCUUACUAAGCUACAACUGACACUGAAGCACGAAAGCGUGGGGAUCAAACAGGAUUAGAUACCCCGGUAGUCC
rnacentral:rRNA from 1 species